rnacentral:rRNA from 1 species
GAUGAACGCUAGCGGCAGGCUUAAUACAUGCAAGUCGAGGGGCAGCAUGAUUGUAGCAAUACAAUUGAUGGCGACCGGCAAACGGGUGCGGAACACGUACACAACCUCCCAAUAAGUGGGGAAUAGCCCAGAGAAAUUUGGAUUAAUACACAGUAACAUAACGAUGUGGCAUCACAUUUGUAUUAUAGAUUUUUCGCUUAUUGAUGGGUGUGCGGCUGAUUAGAUAGUUGGCGGGGUAACGGCCCACCAAGUCUACGAUCAGUAGCUGAUGUGAGAGCAUGAUCAGCCACACGGGCACUGAGACACGGGCCCGACUCCUACGGGAGGCAGCAGUAAGGAAUAUUGGACAAUGGACGCAAGUCUGAUCCAGCCAUGCCGCGUGAAGGAUUAAGGUCCUCUGGAUUGUAAACUUCUUUUAUAAGGGACGAAAAAAGGCUUUUCUAAGUCGUCUGACGGUACCUUAUGAAUAAGCACCGGCUAACUCCGUGCCAGCAGCCGCCGUAAGAC